AUUGAACGCUGGCGGCAUGCCUUACACAUGCAAGUCGAACGGCAGCACGGGAGCAAUCCUGGUGGCGAGUGGCGAACGGGUGAGUAAUAUAUCGGAACGUGCCCGGUCGUGGGGAUAACGUAGCGAAAGCUACGCUAAUACCGCAUACGAUCUACGGAUGAAAGCGGGGGAUCGCAAGACCUCGCGCGAUUGGAGCGGCCGAUAUCAGAUUAGGUAGUUGGUGAGGUAAAGGCUCACCAAGCCGACGAUCUGUAGCUGGUCUGAGAGGACGACCAGCCACACUGGGACUGAGACACGGCCCAGACUCCUACGGGAGGCAGCAGUGGGGAAUUUUGGACAAUGGGCGCAAGCCUGAUCCAGCAAUGCCGCGUGCAGGAUGAAGGCCUUC
rnacentral:rRNA from 1 species